rnacentral:rRNA from 1 species
UACGUAGGUCACAAGCGUUGUCCGGAUUUAUUGGGCGUAAAGGGAGCGCAGGCGGUUUGUUAAGUCUGAUGUGAAAGGCCACGGCUCAACCGUGGAGGUGCAUUGGAAACUGGCAAACUUGAGUGCAGAAGAGGAAAGUGGAAUUCCAUGUGUAGCGGUGAAAUGCGUAGAUAUAUGGAGGAACACCAGUGGCGAAGGCGACUUCUGGUCUGUAACUGACGCUGAGGCUCGAAAGACAUGGGGAGGCAAACAGGAUUAGA